GACGAACGCUGGCGGCGUGCUUAACACAUGCAAGUCGUACGGUAAGGCCCUUUCGGGGGUACACGAGUGGCGCACGGGUGAGUAACACGUGAGUAACCUGCCCACAACUUUGGGAUAACGCUAGGAAACUGGUGCUAAUACUGGAUAUGUGCUCCUGCUGCAUGGUGGGGGUUGGAAAGCUCCGGCGGUUGUGGAUGGACUCGCGGCCUAUCUGCUUGUUGGUGGGGGAGUGGCCUACCAAGGCGGCGACGGGUAGCCGGCCUGAGAGGGUGACCGGCCACAGUGGGACUGAGAUACGGCCCAGACUCCUACGGGAGGCAGCAGGGGGGAAUAUUGCACAAUGGGCGCAAGCCUGAUGCAGCAACGCCGCGUGCGGGAUGACGGCCUUCGGGUUGUAAACCGCUUUCAGCAGGGACGAAGCUUUUUGUGACGGUACCUGCAGAAGAAGCACCGGCUAACUACGUG
rnacentral:rRNA from 1 species